rnacentral:rRNA from 1 species
AAUUCAAGGGUGUGGCGCGAGCUCCUUCGGGAGCGAAGCAAUUGGAAGUGGUUCCAAGAAAAGCCUCUAAGCUUCAGUCUAACGAUGACCGUACCGCAAACCGACACAGGUGGGCGAGAUGAGUAUUCUAAGGCGCUUGAGAGAACUCGGGAGAAGGAACUCGGCAAAUUGGUACCGUAACUUCGGGAUAAGGUACGCCCUUGUAGCUUGACUGGCUUGCGCCAGAAGGGUGAAGGGGUUGCAAUAAACUGGUGGCUGCGACUGUUUAAUAAAAACACAGCACUCUGCAAACACGAAAGUGGACGUAUAGGGUGUGACGCCUGCCCGGUGCCGGAAGAUUAAAUGAUGGGGUGCAAGCUCUUGAUUGAAGUCCCGGUAAACGGCGGCCGUAACUAUAACGGUCCUAAGGUAGCGAAAUUCCUUGUCGGGUAAGUUCCGACCUGCACGAAUGGCGUAACGAUGGCCACACUGUCUCCUCCCGAGACUCAGCGAAGUUGAAGUGUUUGUGAUGAUGCAAUCUACCCGCGGCUAGACGGAAAGACCCCAUGAACCUUUACUGUAGCUUUGCAUUGGACUUUGAACCGAUCUGUGUAGGAUAGGUGGGAGGCUAUGAAACCGGAACGCUAGUUUCGGUGGAGCCGUCCUUGAAAUACCACCCUGGUUUGUUUGAGGUUCUAACCUUGGCCCGUGAUCCGGGUCGGGGACAGUGCAUGGUAGGCAGUUUGACUGGGGCGGUCUCCUCCCAAAGCGUAACGGAGGAGUACGAAGGUACGCUAGGUACGGUCGGAAAUCGUGCUGAUAGUGCAAUGGCAUAAGCGUGCUUAACUGCGAGACCGACAAGUCGAGCAGGUGCGAAAGCAGGUCAUAGUGAUCCGGUGGUUCUGUAUGGAAGGGCCAUCGCUCAACGGAUAAAAGGUACUCUGGGGAUAACAGGCUGAUACCGCCCAAGAGUUCAUAUCGACGGCGGUGUUUGGCACCUCGAUGUCGGCUCAUCUCAUCCUGGGGCUGUAGCCGGUCCCAAGGGUAUGGCUGUUCGCCAUUUAAAGAGGUACGUGAGCUGGGUUUAAAACGUCGUGAGACAGUUUGGUCCCUAUCUGCCGUGGGCGUUGGAUAUUUGAAGGGGGCUGCUCCUAGUACGAGAGGACCGGAGUGGACGAACCUCUGGUGUACCGGUUGUCACGCCAGUGGCAUCGCCGGGUAGCUAUGUUCGGAAGAGAUAACCGCUGAAAGCAUCUAAGCGGGAAACUCGCCUUAAGAUGAGAUAUCCCUGGGGACUAGAUCCCCUUGAAGGGUCGUUCGAGACCAGGACGUUGAUAGGUCAGGUGUGUAAGCGCAGUAAUGCGUUCAGCUAACUGAUACUAAUUGCCCGUAAGGCUUGAUCCU